CAGACACCUUCACUGCUCGCUGUUAGAGGGAGGACCCCUGCUGGAGGAUGCUGUGCCAUCGGGUCUGCUUGUGUUACCUCAUGAAUCCAAUAGCAUUUGGCCCCGAAGUUAGUCACUAUCUCUAUUGAUGGCAAUUCCAUUUAAUAACACUGUCGGGGGUGUUAAUUAUGCUGAGGGCUCAGGCCAGCCUGUCUCAGGCUGCUGCUAAUGCUGUGCCCUAUGUUGAGUCUGUGGGACUCCAGCCUGCUGGAUCAACGCAAACAAAGACCUUUCUCUAAUUUUCAGGUCUCCAAUCCGUGUUACGAGAACGAGCUUCAGGGUGUUUGACAGUAGCAUAUUCUUGCCACGUGGAGGCAGUGAUACACAGUGUUACUGAUGACAAUUUGUAACAUUAAAGUGGAUAUAAAACAUUGACAUUCUAAGGGCUUUUGUAAAGAAAUUUUUGCAUUGAGCCAGCACAGUGCAGUUAUAUUCUGUCUGUUUAAUCAACUAAAGUAUUCUUAUUAAUGGAAAUUAUACAUGAUGAUGAGUGUUUAAAUGUUUUCUUAAUCUAAAGCCACUUAAAGUUACAAUCUUAACAUGGUUAUAGAAGUAGUCCUGCUAAAUGGAGUGUUAUGAAACUCUAUAAAAAUCCAUGACACUCCUGGUGAAGUCAAGACUUUGUAUCUCAUAGAAUUGUGUAUGUGAUUUAACUGAGAUGUACAGUCUACACUACAGUGUUUCUACAAUCUAUAGCAAGUUUAUUGCAAAAAUAAUGUUUGAAAUAGGAGAACCAUUGU